UACGAGAGGCCCAAACGUUAUUCGGAUUUACUGGGCUUAAAGAGUUCGUAGGCGGCGCGGAAAGUAGGGUGUGAAAGCCCUCGGCUCAACCGAGGAAUUGCGCUCUAAACUACCGUGCUCGAGGAAGCUAGAGGUGAGCGGAACUGAUGGUGGAGCGGUGAAAUGCGUUGAUAUCAUCAGGAACACCGGAGGCGAAGGCGGCUCACUGGGGCUUUUCUGACGCUGAGGAACGAAAGCCAGGGGAGCGAACGGGG
rnacentral:rRNA from 1 species